rnacentral:lncRNA from 1 species
GGGCCAUGCAUGACAGGUGCAGCAGAGAUACUCAGAAGCACUGAUUUUGAAUGACUCCGAGAUUAGAGUUGAUAAAGAAAGUGUUCAGUCCAUGUUUAUCCUUAGUGAUUUUUACCCUAUUCUUCUACGCAGGUGUAAGUACUCAGAGCCACUUUCAUUCAAGUGAAUUAAAAAUUGGAAACCAGGGGUUCCCACUGUGGUACAACAAAAUUGGCAGCGUCUUUGGAGCCCUGGAACAGAGGUUCAGUCCCCUCCUUAGGGCAGUGGGUUAAGAUCCCGCAUUGCAGCAGCUGCCAUGUGGGUCACAGCUGCACUUCACAACUGAUCCCUGGCCCAGGAACUCCAUGUGCUUUGGGGCAACCAAAAAAAAAAAAAAAAAAAUGGAAACCAGUUCUCGGUGAGAUUGAGAGUGCCAAGAGGGGAGCUGCCCCAGAGAGGGUCAUUGUAGACCUCUGCAUGCACAUGUCAAGGGCGGGUCAGGUCCACCGAAUUUCCUGGUAGCACCACAAUGACAGAUGAAUGAUAAACCCACAAGCAGUCAGCAUCUUUGUGAAGCACACCCUGGCCAAGUGUCCCCCAUUGGGUCAGACCAACCCAGGCGGCAUCGAGACUGAUACACAGUGUGUUUUAAUUCGCAGAGCUGCUUGUGAAUGUCCUCCAGGGAGCCCAGCCCCACCUCUGCUCAGUGAAAAUCAUGGGCUACUACAGGCUAAUGGGAGGGGGACUGCAGAGGGCAGCCACCCUGGAGAGCAGAGCCCUCAGAUGGAGACAGCUGGCUUCCGUCUCUGAGCAGAGCCCAGUACGCUGCACGCAGGACGUGUUCAUAGCUCUGCUGACAUCGCUCAGCUGGGAAAUGAGAAGGUUCAUGAGAUGGCUGCCCUCUUCCUCCAGAGAAGCAAGACCCCAGGAACAAUCCAGGAUCCAGCCCCUUGAUCUGGAAGCCAGACUUCUUCUGACGUCUACAAGACCAUGCAGAGGGGGCAGAGACGAGCGUGGAGAAGACUGGGAAGAAGAUUGUACCAACUACAAACCCUGCCCCCACCCCGAUCCCCGCGAGGGGGACGAAUUCUGAAAGAAGCUGGGAGUCCGCAUCCGUCCAGCCUUCUGGGAGCUCCGAAUCUUUCCACAGCCAUUCGCUGCUGUCCCCCAGCCUUUGUAGCUUUGAAAUCCAUCGGACAUUUCAGGUUGGUUUAAAUAGAUGGGGAGAUGAAUCAACAAAUCUAGUUCAAUUGUCUUUGCUUAACUUUUUAAUCCAUAGUGCAAAUGUGUGCUGAGAAUGUAUUAAUCCUUGUGUACCCAAGUUAAGUGAUGAAAAAAUAUUCUAGGAGCCUUUCAUGACAUGUAAGGGAUUCUACCAGCUCCUGCCCUGCACAAGGCAUUCACUCCUCCGUGCUUUACAGCUGCAUGUGGGUGGGCACCAAGAGGUCCCCCCAGUGUGUCAUGUCUCAGAGGCACCAGGGAGGGAGGGUCCCAGGGGACACAGGACAGGCCUGGGGCAUGUGGUCAGGCUGUGCUUUCCUUGGCCUCUGUGGUGACAGCUGGAGGGAACAAGGGUUCAAGGCCUUGGGUACAGAUGAGCUCAAGCGCUUCUGGGAUGACACCUAAGAGUUGCCCAGCACACGGAAACUCCCUGCCGGAAGUGCAGUGGCUCUUCUCUGCCGGAAGUGCAGCGGCUCACGGAAAUGUGCUUCCGACACUUGCUCCACUGCAGAUGUGGAUUUUGUUUUUAUUCAACAGUUCACCCACUCAUUCAUUAACCAAGGCAUGCACCUCCUGAAGGCCAAACACAGUGUUAAACAGGAAGAACCCUGGCUUUCUGGAGCAACGGAAGCACCUUAUCUGUUGCCCUAAAGCAACCCCAGCCCGCCCCCCGGCUCUCCAUCCCUCCCGAUGCUGCGUCUCCUCUGCUUGGGUCAGUUACACCUUGAACGUCAUGAUCUCCUCAAAGCCUUCGCCGACACCAGCUAGUGUUUAUGGGCAGCCGAGCCGUGAUCUGGGUGCUGAGAGCAGCAAAUCUCACACUGCGGGGGCCCGGGGACUCUGGCGGGGGCCCGAAGAGAACGUGUCUCUUCUAUGCGAGUCUUGCCUGUGACCCCGAACAGCACUGCUUUGUACCACCUCUUACCCUUCCUGCCAGUGUCAUCAUUCCAGGGACACCCAGGCCCAGAACAUGGGGUGAGCAGCCCCCCGCACUCCAGAGGGGGAUCCUCCCCCUCUUCAAGUCCAUGCCCAAGCUUGGACGUGCCCCAGGUGGGAAGGGGCCCAAGUCAUUUCUCGUGGGGUAAAGGGAAAUAGGAAACCAGUAAUUCUUUGUGUUCAUGUUUUGUCCACAUUCAUUAUGGCCUUUGACUAUGGCUCACCGCGACCAUGAGUGUGUGUAAUUAUCUUCCUGUUACAGAUGUGGAAACUGAGGCCAGGAGAAUAACUAACUGGCUGAAGGUCACACAGCCAGUAAAGGGUCGAUCCAGGGCUAGACGCGUAUGUUGCAGGUGAACCUGACCUUUGUGCUACCCAGUGGCUCAGCCUACCCCAGGGCAUCCUUCACCCACUGACCUGUCAGCCCGUCCUCACUCACCAUAUGGGACACAAUGGGCCUUAGGACCCAGGGCUUUCCCUCAAGGUACUUGAGCUGAGUAUUGUCAGUGGGCAGAACGCCAACGCUCAGGGCUGUCUUCCCCUCCCCUGCCGUCCAUGGAGCCCCCGCCUCCCUCACCUCACACAGCGCCAACUCACUCCCGGUAAAUGCAGUGUUUUUCCAUUCCAGUGAGCUCAGCCCUUACUUUGAUUUGGGUGCAGGCAGCUGCAGGUGCCUCAAGUUAUCAUGUGCUCUCUCCCCGCAAUGUCAUCCGUGUUUACUUGCCGCUCUGGACUUUCGAUUCUGUCAGGAUGCCAGUCGGCUGGGCCGCCAGGCACCACAGCUGACAGUCAAAUCUGUGAUGCCGAAUCCUUCUUCUGGAAAAAAGGGCUAAAGAGGUUAAUACACUCAAGUCAGGAUAAACACACCAGCUGUUAGAGUUUCUAAUAUUUAAUAUCAUUAUCAAAUAAAUAACUCAAGAAGAAAUACA